UAUCCCUAUUUUUCUGACUUUCAUCCAAAUGGAAUUACAUGGAUAGUCAAAGCUCAAUUGGUAAGAAUGGUAGAAGUGUUUAAUCAGCUUUUACCCCAUGCAACGCUGAUAUUGGUUUUACUUGAUGACCAGGGUGAUGCUAUGGAGGCAAGUGUAUGGCUCGAAGAAGUGUACUAUUUCAAGGAGCAUCUUUACGAGUGUAGGGUCUACAUUUUUAAAGGAGUCAAUAUUGUACUAGCUAAUGGGAAGUUCAAUCCGGUACUGUACCACGACAAAAUGUGUUUUACUGAUAAUACAAGAGUAGAACAUGUAUAUAUCACAUGUGAUAGGACACCCCAUCAUUGGUCUUAAAGUGUAAGAUUACAAGAUAUCCAUCAUUUUGCCAACAAAUGUGUGUAAUUGAUAGAUGUGGUUGGAUUGUUUGUCACUGUCAUUGAACAUCGAAGUACUAGAAAUGGGGAAUCUAUGGUGAGAGA